rnacentral:misc_RNA from 1 species
GAUAAAGAACGUAGCGAAAUGCGAUAAGUAGUGUGAAUUGCAGAAUUCAGUGAAUCAUCGAAUCUUUGAACGCACAUUGCGCCCUUUGGUAUUCCAAAGGGCAUGCCUGUUCGAGCGUCAUUUGUACCCUCAAGCUUUGCUUGGUGUUGGGCGUCUUGUCUCUAGCUUUGCUGGAGACUCGCCUUAAAGUAAUUGGCAGCCGGCCUACUGGUUUCGGAGCGCAGCACAAGUCGCACUCUCUAUCAGCAAAGGUCUAGCAUCCAUUAAGCCUUUUUUUCAACUUUUGACCUCGGAUCAGGUAGGGAUACCCGCUGAACUUAAGCAUAUCAAUAAGCGGAGGA